rnacentral:rRNA from 1 species
UGGUGGAGUGAUUUGUCUGGUUAAUUCCGUUAACGAGCGAGACCUCGACCUGCUAAAUAGCUCAGGUAUCGUCUUUGAUGCCGAGGGCUUCUUAGAGGGACUAUCGGAUCCAAACCGGUGGAAGUGCGAGGCAAUAACA